CUAAACAGUUCCCGGAUGCCUUGUGGGUAGGGGUGAAAUUCCAAUCGAACUUGGAGUUAGCGGGUUCUCUCCGUAAUAGCUUUAUGGCUAGCGUGUAGUGUUAAAUGAUGGGGGUAGAGCACUGAAUAUGGAAUGGCGGCGCCUAGCCGUGCUGACUAUAAUCAAACUCCGAAUACUAUCAUGUAUUACUAUGCAGUCGGUACAUCGGUGAUAACGUCGAUGCACGCGAGGGGAACAACCCAGAUCGUCAGCUAAGGUGCCAAAAUUGUGGUAAGUGAGAAAGGUUGUGAAGUUUCUUAAACAGCUAGGAUGUUGGCUUAGAAGCAGCCACCGUUUAAAGAGUGCGUAAUAGCUCACUAGUCGAGAGACUUUGUGCCGAUAAUUCAACGGGACUAAAACACAAUACCGAAGCUAC
rnacentral:rRNA from 1 species